rnacentral:rRNA from 1 species
UGGGGAAUAUUGGACAAUGGGCGAAAGCCUGAUCCAGCCAUGCCGCGUGUGUGAAGAAGGUCUUCGGAUUGUAAAGCACUUUAAGUUGGGAGGAAGGGCAGUAAGCGACUACCUUGCUGUUUUCACGUUACCGCCAGAAUAAGCACCGGCUAACUCUGUGCCAGCAGCCGCGGUAAUACAGAGGGUGCGAGCGUUAAUCGGAUUUACUGGGCGUAAAGCGUGCGUAGGCGGCUAAUUGAGUCGGAUGUGAAAUCCCCGGGCUUAACUUGGGAAUUGCAUUCGAUACUGGUUAGCUAGAGUGGGGGAGAGGAUGGUAGAAUUCCAGGUGUAGCGGUGAAAUGCGUAGAGAUAUGGAAGAAUACCGAUGGCGAAGGCAGCCAUCUGGCCUAACACUGACGCUGAGGUACGAAAGCAUGGGGAGCAAACAGG